ensembl:lncRNA
CUACAUGUGUUCUAAUGACUGCUUUUUUACGGGAUACAGACAUGUAGGAGCAAGUUAAUAAUAACAACCUAUGUGAAAACAGUACAGGGAAAGACUGAGGCUGUUAGUUAGCCUUCCUUGCUAAACAAUAAUUUACACUGAAAGUUUUAAUUCCUUGCAACAUGCAUCACAUUUGUAUGUUUUUCUCCCUGAUACUUUACUUAGGCUGCUCCAAAAGUAAUGCCUCCAAUUUUAUGACAGUAUGGCAGUAGGGAUUGAACCUUCACACCAAUAUUCCAUUACAUGUUAUUGCCAUGUGACAGAUGGCACCAGAGGGGCAGUCGGACAGAAUGGUGUUGGAGGUGGAAGUGAGAAUGGAGCAAAAUUGUUUCAUUCUAUUCCUCCGUGCAGAAAAAAUGGCACCCACUGACAUUCACCAAUGCUUGCUGGAUGUUUAUGGGGACCAGCAUGUGGAUGUGAGCGCAGUGAGGCAGUGGGUGGUGUAUUUCAGCAGUGGUGACAGUGAGAGUAAUCGCCUCUGCUGGUACAGAUUGUUACUAUCACAUCAUGAAGGCUGUUGUUCACCGAUGGCAAAAAAUGCAUAACUUAUGGUAGUGAUUAUGUUGAAAAACAGUGUUUUGUAGCUGAGAAACUGCUCAAUCAAACAGUGUUACUGUGCUCUCAGUAUCCGAUGUAGUUUCAGUGAAAAUAAAUAGGUGACAUUACUUUUGGAGUGACCUACGUAACAACUGUUUGGGUAAGGUGAAUUCUUCAAUUAACAUAAGGAGGGGACGUGUUUCAAAGUCUAACAAACUAUCUUUCAAGUACAAAUGAAGGCCACUCAAUGCAACAGCAAAAGUUAGCAAUUUUCCUGUACUUGUUGAACCCUGCAUCUCUAAGCUAGCCAUUUCUGUAAUGACUUACUCUUUUGACAAGUAUUUCUGAUUCUUGAAAGCAAUUGCACAGUUCAAGUGAAUCUACUUCUUGGUUUCUUCUAGACAGUGUAGAAUGGUUAGAAUCUGGUACCUAGCUAGAUUUUCAAUUUGUUUGAACAUCUAUAGGAUUAAUAUUUAGCAUGUGAAAAAGCAAAGGUCUUUUUAAGACUCUUCUUCAUGUGACACUCAGAAAAAGGAGGAUGCUGGCAUUAAAGAGAUGUUCCUUUCUCAGAUACAAAUGUAUUACCAACAAGUGCAUAAUGCCCCGUUUUCCUGACUGUUUCUUGUAAAAUUAAGUCAAAUCCAUACUGAAAAGCCAAGGUGCAGAGCACAGCAGGCCUGAAGCUGGCAGCGCCUUCUAGAUAAUAUUUCUUCAAAAUCAUGGAAACUGCAGUUAUUUAUUCAAAUGUUUACUUUAUAUGUACUUUACUACUCCAGUACACAAAAUCAAGUUACACAAUUUAUCUGUUGCUAAAUAACAUGAUUAUUUGAAAUUGUCAGAUGAAAGCAAAUUCAGAGGUUGCUUUGUUUCUACCCAUACUACCUUUUUUUCCAUAGCAUCAUAGAAUGGUUUACGCUGGAAGGGACCUUAAAGCCCAUCCAGCUCCAACCCCCUGCCAUGGGCUGGUGGUCGACUACUGGGUCACCCUGCUCAGGGCCCUGUCCAACCUUGCUUAGAGCACCUUCAGGGAUCGGGCAUGCACAGCUUCUCUGGGCAGCCUGUGCCAAGGUCUCACCACCCUCAUCACGGAGAAUUUCUUUAUAUGAAAUCUAAAUCAACUUUCUUACAGUUAUAACUACUGCUUCUUGUCCUGUCAGUCACUGCCUUUAAUGUCUCUGGACUAUGUAGAAUGAAGAUAAUGCUCAACCCGAAAAACAAAACAAAAGAAAAACUAGAAAAAUUAACUAAUGCUGGUGUUAUGAAUUGUCUAAAUAAAUCUGUACAGAGCAUAUUCUUGAUACUGGACAUAUUUAAAAAAAAUGACAACUAGAUUCUACAUAUAAUUAUUGUAUUACAUAUGUUUUAGGGUUGUUCUUUAUUUAUUUAUUUAUUAACAUUCAUUUAUUUAUACUGCAGAGACAUGGAAAUACUUGUUGUAAUUCUUUCCUGCAUCUUGGAUUCCAUUAGUCCUCCUGAAUUCUCCUUGGUCUUUAGACCAGUUACAGGUUUUUAUUACACCCAGAUCCUUGUCUAGUUCCUUCCCCACUGUUAUUGUUGUUGGCUUCAGAGGUAUUGUACACUGGAUGAAUGGGAGUGGAUAUCUGCUUCUUAGUUAUAUGUGCCUGUAUAACUUUCCUAGCUCUAUUUAAUAGACUAUGCCAACAUAAAUGUGAAUGAUACAAGUCCUUAUAUUGUAAGUUUAUAUAGAUAUGUUUCUUUGGAAUAUCUUCUAUUCUCUUCGUAUGUAUGAUUGAAAUGAAAGCUUAAAAUGGAAAAUGAGUUUCUUUAAGGCAUUCCUGAAGUCUGUUUCACAAGUAAACAGCAGUUCUUUAAAUUUUAUGCCCCUUUUUUUGGAGUGCACAAAACCCCAUGGCUUAUUUUAUCAGUUUAUAGAGAUUUGCUGCUCAAACCCAUCUUCAAAAAUACAAAUAUAUCCAUUCAUUACUUUUUUUUUUUUUUUGUUACAAAUGAAGGCUUUUGUUGAUAACUAUUCAUUUCAGAUACAUUUGUACAAACCAUAAAAGUUCAUUUUUGUGAUUCCUUUAUUCCUUUUAGUAUGCCUUAGGAAUUCAGCUUGAUGCUUUUCAUUUCUCCCAGAUUUAUAUUUUGUCCCAGCAUUUUAAUGUUCUAAUCACAUGAAGACUUGGCAAAACUCCAGCUAUGAGAACUACAGUUCUAGUCCUUCUGGGAAGACUCCUUAAAGUUUAAUGGCAGCAUAAUUUAACUCCCUUUGAAGGCAGAGUUGCAAGUAUUUUUUAAACAAUUUUUUUUUUUUAUUUGCUCUUCUUUGUUGGCAGUGUUUCCUUAGAAGCUAGGAGAUAAAAACUUUUAACCUACAAACUUACUUGAUUUUCAUUUGGCAAUUAUAUUUUCCUUUGUUUCUGCUCCUCAUGGUAGUUGAAAUAUUAGCAUAUUUAUCUUCCCUGAGUACUUACUACUUCAUUACUAUUACAGAAUCAGCAAAAGAAAUGAAUUGAUUUUUCCCCAAAGGUCCUGUAUGUAUGUAAAAUAGAUCUUUCCUUUUAACAAGAAAGCAGGAGCUGAGUCUUCUGAAAUAAAAGUUGUGAAUUGCAAACAAUUGCAAAUCCUGUUGCCGUUAUUGUCACAAGUGGCUCCCAUGAAGUCACCAGACAUCUACAGCUGAUCCAAUCCGCCUGCAUGCUUCUUAUAAUGGGACUGUGACUGCUGUCCAUAAAGGAUGCUUCUGCUCAGUAGCUUCAUCAGUUGAUUUUAUGCCAGGGUUAUAACACAGAAUUCUUCAAAAUUGGGAAUAGAAGAGCUCCCCAUCACCAACUAUGGGGAAAAUACCUGGGUGUCACAUCUGGAGAUGCUAAAGAGCUGCUGCUGGCUUACAUCAGAGCUGGGAUCGGAGGAAUGAAACCAAAGCUACAGGCCUCCUCUGCCCUCUCUCUCAGUUGGUGGCUGAGGUCUGUAACUGCUUUCAAAAACACCUGUGAUUUUUGAGAAGUGGCAGUACAAUCUUUCAGAAAUAAAAGAACUAUCAACAGAAGUUAAAUAUGAUGUUUACAUAAAAUUUCAAGCCAUUAAUUGAUGCCAUGACAAAGUCCCAUCAUAGCAAUGCCUCAAAAUAAAAGAUAAGAACGUAAUUUUAGAAGUGGAUUACAGAUUUUUACCCAAUGAAAAAUUUCAC